GACAGAGGUGCCGAGCGUUAGGCGGAAUCACUGGGCUUAAAGCGUGUGUAGGCGGGUCGUUAAGUGUCUUGUGAAAUCCCACCGCUCAACGGUGGAACUGCUGGGCAUACUGGCGAUCUUGAGCCACCUAGGGGCAGACGGAACAAGCGGUGGAGCGGUGAAAUGCGUAGAUAUCGCUUGGAACGCCGACGGUGAAAACAGUCUGCUGGGGGUGUGCUGACGCUGGAGACACGAAAACCAGGGGAGCGAACGGG
rnacentral:rRNA from 1 species